GACGUUCCGCCCCUUAUAGAAUCGAUUAUUGAUGGGAAGAUAUUAUUUAACUAUCCAAAAUAUUAUUUAAUUAUUUUCAGAAUUAUUUUCUUUCAAUGUUUAUUCAAAUAGAACUUAAACCCAUCUCAGAAUUUUUAAAUGCUUGAUGACGUCACAUUUAAAACGUGGCAACAUUGGUUUCCCCACUUUGACAGCCAAUGCUUAGUAGAGGGGUACGAAGGAUUCAGCUGUGAACGUGAGCCUUGGAUUGCGAUUGUUUCUCGAGUGUUCGGUCUGAAUCGUAGUGUGCGGGGUCAUUAGACUCAAUUAUUCACCUCUAAUUCUCAGUUCCAAAUUGAUUAAAUAUUACAAUAAAAGUAUAGUGAAGUUAUCCAGCAGCAGUGGAUUUGAAGAAUUUUAGAGCAUACUAUAUCCAAUGAGUUCUACCCCGCACCUACCAUGAAAUCUUAAAGCCACCCUACAACAACACCAAGGCCAGACCACACAGAGAGAAACAAUCAAUAGGCGACCAGCCUGGAUUAUUUCCACAUUUUUUUUUUUUUGAGUACCUCCAGCUGCUUUCCAACAGUUUUGAGUACCUUCAGCUGCUUUCUACCAGUCUUCCUCUCCUGUACCUCCAGCAGGACAGCUGCUAGCGAGAGUUAGCACCCUUGGGUGCUCAUUACAUCAACUUCAAGAUUAGGAAAGAGUGGUUUGUUUGGGAACAUUUACUGUGCUCUUAUUAAAGACAGACUGGUUUUGUGAUAUUUAGUACAUUUUUUUUUAUAGUUCAAUUGCACACACAUUUUUCCUGCUUUAUAUUUUUUAUAGGUUUUUUUUUUCUCUUUACAACAUAAUAUUUAAUUGAUAGCGUUCCCCAACACUCUGCAAUCUAUAAAGGUAUAAAUUUCUGAGCUCAGAUAUUUUCCCUGAUAAUAGUAGUCGGUACUCUUAUCUUGAUUAUUUUUAGGCUGUGUUCCACUUUUGUAUAAUUAUUUAAACUCAUUCCAUUAUUUUAGUAUAUGUUUAAUUAAAUUUUUAAAAAUUAACUUCACAUAUUAGUCAAAAUUGUAAUUAUUAACUUUAUUUAACUUGAACUUAUUAACUUUAUUUAACUUUAACUUUAAUUUAUUAAAUUCAUAUGAACUUCUGGAUUCUAAUCCCUCAGAUUAGUUUUUGGUUUCACUUGUUAUUAUUACUAUUAUAAACCACGAGUUAGGAAAAGGAUCUGUGUAUCCACUCGUAGGUUUAUUUAUUCAAUAAGGCUUGUGCCUGUCCCACUCACAGUGAGGUAUUUAUAUGUUAUAUAUAGUAUCAGGUAGUAUUUAAUUAAGGUGUACGUAUUAUAAACGUACAAUUAUUAUUUGGUGAGGGUUCUACUAACCUAGUUGUAAGUUGUACUUCCUGUAUUAGAGGUACCCGUAGUCAGUUUUCUAACCUUAUAAAGAGUAUUCUUAGCUCAUAGUUGUAUGAUGAUUUUGUAAUUGACUUUCACUAGUAUCACUUUUUCCUGUCAUGUUAGAGUUACACACUAGUUACUUGUCCUAACUCAGAGAUUGUUAAAAAGAUCUAGUAGUUACAUUCAAUAAAUAUACAUUUAUUGUGA
rnacentral:lncRNA from 1 species